GGCUACGUAGCUCAGACGGUUAGAGCGCAGCACUCAUAACGCUGAAGUCGGUGGUUCAAUCCCACCCGUAGCCA
rnacentral:tRNA from 1 species